UGUAAUAUCAUCAGUCACUCCUGCAGAAUCUCCGACUGAUGUCGAUAUUUUGAAGAAAUUGCUUCCACAAUAGUAUAGUAAAUUAACCUUACAAUUACUUACCACAGGAGAUGGAUAGUCCAAUCCUGUAUUUUGGUUAAUAAAAGUUGCGUGAUUUUACUGCAUACAAAAAUUGUCCAGUUCCAAACUCUUGGUUGAUAAUAAAAGAUGUUUCCAAG
rnacentral:misc_RNA from 1 species